rnacentral:lncRNA from 1 species
AUGAGCAUCUGGCUCCAGAGAAGACGAACGAAAAUAUGUUGUUCCCUCAUCCUUUUCCCAUGUGUAUUCCUGUUUGUAACAGGGGUAACAGGACAGCAGAGCACCAUGGAUCAACAAGCUUCAGAUGUUAACUGCAACUCGUCCAAAGGUUCGUCUCCGGCAAUAAUUACACUAAGUGUUCUAGGAGCCUCAAGCAUCAUCUUGAAUUUUGUACUAAGUUAUGAACAGAAAAAGCAAGGUAAGAUAUUAGUGGAAUUCUCUUGCAUUUCAUAGUACCUUCCUACCAAACAAGAAUACAGUGAUCAGCCACUGUCAGCAAGGCCCAUGCCCUCAAGCAUCAAAGCCAUCCACGGCAGACAUGACAGAGGGCUGACAGCAGCCUCGUGCCCUUCUGGAACAUGAGCUGGAGCCAAGUGCAAUACUCAGGGAACCCAUCACAGGAGGCAGAGCACGGGAUCUGACUAC